CGUGUCGUGAGAUGUUGGGUUAAGUCCCGCAACGAGCGCAACCCUCACCCCUAGUUGCCACCGGGUAAAGCCGAGCACUCGAGGGGAACUGCCAGCGUCAAGCUGGAGGAAGGCGGGGAUGACGUCAAGUCAUCAUGCCCCUUACGUCCUGGGCUACACACGUGCUACAAUGGCCGGUACAAAGGGAUGCCACACCGCGAGGUAGAGCUAAACCCAAAAAGCCGGUCUAAGUUCAGAUUGGAGUCUGCAACUUGACUCCAUGAAGGAGGAAUCGCUAGUAAUCGC
rnacentral:rRNA from 1 species